rnacentral:rRNA from 1 species
UACAGAGGGGGCAAGCGUUGUUCGGAAUUACUGGGCGUAAAGGGCGCGUAGGCGGCCUGCUAAGUCGAACGUGAAAUCCCCGAGCUCAACUCGGGAACUGCGUCCGAUACUGGCAGGCUUGAAUCCGGGAGAGGGAUGCGGAAUUCCAGGUGUAGCGGUGAAAUGCGUAGAUAUCUGGAGGAACACCGGUGGCGAAGGCGGCAUCCUGGACCAAUACUGACACUGAGGAGCGAAAGCCAGGGGAGCAAACGGG